UCCCUGGUAGCUCAGCAGUUAAAGCAUCUGCCUGCAAUGCUGGAGACCUGGGUUCGAUCCCUGGGUUGGGAA
rnacentral:tRNA from 1 species